AUUGAACGCUGGCGGCAGGCCUAACACAUGCAGGUCGAGCGGAUGAAGGGAGCUUGCUCCUGGAUUCAGCGGCGGACGGGUGAGUAAUGCCUAGGAAUCUGCCUGGUAGUUGGGGAUAACGUCCGGAAACGGGCGCUAAUACCGCAUACGUCCUGAUGUAGAACGUGGUGGAUCUUCGGACCUCACUCUCUCAGAUGACCCUAGGUCGGAUUAGCUAGUUGGUGGGGUAAAGGCCUACCAAGGCGACGAUCCGUAACUGGUCUGAGAGGAUGAUCAGUCACACUGGAACUGAGACACGGUCCAGACUCCUACGGGAGGCAGCAGUGGGGAAUAUUGGACAAUGGGCGAAAGCCUGAUCCAGCCAUGCCGCGUGUGUGAAGAAGGUCUUCGGAUUGUAAAGCACUUUAAGUUGGGAGGAAGGGCAGUAAGUUAAUACCUUGCUGUUUUGACGUUACCAACAGAAUAAGCACCGGCUAACUUCGUG
rnacentral:rRNA from 1 species